rnacentral:rRNA from 16 species
UACAGGUGUUGCACGACUGUCGUCAGUUCGUGUCGUAAGAUGUUUGGUUCAUUCCUUUUAACGAGCGUAACUCUUGUUUUUAAAAAUUUACUUUCAAUCAUUAGCGUGUUUUUGAUAGCAACACCUAAAUGAUUAUGCUUUAAAAAAACUGUGAUGUUUAAAAAUAAAAUUUUAAAGGAAGGUAAGAAUUAAGUCAAGUCACUGUGGCCCUUAUGAAUUGGGCUACACACGUGCUACAAUGAAAAUAACAAAAAGUAACAAAAAUAAAAACUUUUAGUUAAUCUUUAAAAAUUUUCUUAGUUCGGAUUGUAAACUGCAACUCGUUUACAUGAAGGUGGAAUCACAAGUAAUCGCAAAUCAGAACGUUGCGGUGAAUACGUAUCUUGGCUUUGUACACACCGCCCGUCACAUGCAGAAAGCUA